GAUAAACGCUGGCGGCGUGCUUAACACAUGCAAGUCGAACGAAGUUUUUCUUUCGGGAGGAACUUAGUGGCGGACGGGUGAGUAACGCGUGGGUAACCUGCCCUGUACAGGGGGACAACAGCUGGAAACGGCUGCUAAUACCGCAUAAGCCCUUAGCACUGCAUGGUGCAUAGGGAAAAGGAGCAAUCCGGUACAGGAUGGACCCGCGUCUGAUUAGCCAGUUGGCAGGGUAACGGCCUACCAAAGCGACGAUCAGUAGCCGAUCUGAGAGGAGGUACGGCCACAUUGGGACUGAGACCCGGCCCAGACUCCUACGGGAGGCAGCAGUGGGGAAUAUUGCACAAUGGAGGAAACUCUGAUGCAGCGACGCCGCGUGAGUGAAGAAGUAUUUCGGUAUGUAAAGCUCUAUCAGCAGGAAAGAAAAUGACGGUACCUGACGAAGAAGCACCGGCUAAAUACGUG
rnacentral:rRNA from 1 species